UGGGGAAUAUUGGACAAUGGGGGCAACCCUGAUCCAGCAAUGCCGCGUGAGUGAAGAAGGCCUUCGGGUUGUAAAGCUCUUUUGUCUGUGAAGAUAAUGACGGUAACAGACGAAUAAGCACCGGCUAACUUCGUGCCAGCAGCCGCGGUAAUACGAAGGGUGCUAGCGUUGUUCGGAAUAACUGGGCGUAAAGGGCGUGUAGGCGGCUUCAUGCGUCAGAUGUGAAAGUCCUGGGCUUAACCUAGGGAUUGCAUUUGAUACGGUGAGGCUAGAGGUCAUGAGAGGGAAACGGAAUUGCGCAUGUAGAAGUGGAAUUCGUAGAGAUGCGCAGGAACACCGGUGGCGAAGGCGGUUUCCUGGCGUUGACCUGACGCUAAAGCGCGAAAGCGUGGGGAGCAAA
rnacentral:rRNA from 1 species